GAGGGGGCAUAUUACCGUGAUAAACUGCACCAUUACGUUCAUUGUGUCGUCGUUGCUGACUCUGCUGAAGUUUAUAGUUAGCUAAAGUUAAGCUAGGUUAUCCUUUAGCAUGCUAACAUUAGAAGAUAAGCGUGACCGACACAACGAGGCACGCCAUGACUUCUCAUGUCAUGGACAAGCGGGUUGAAAUGAUACUGAGAACUUAUGGAGUUACUGUUAAUUCAAACUAGUUAUAAACUUACCAUUGAGGCAAACCGUUCCCUUCAACAAAGUCGACGCUCAGCCAAGCAGCUCUGCACUCUAGUCUCCCUGCUGAUAAAAGUUAUAAAGCUUGAAAGGAAAAGCUGUUUAUCCUGCCUGUGACAUGUUCUGCUGAUCUACUAAAAAACAGUUUCCCCUCUUCCCUGAGUGCCACGGAUCCUCUAGCCUCCACCUGCCACCUUCCCCUUUCAUGCUGCAGAUUGGUGCAGCCGGCUGUCACGAUGCCGAGCUUGUUGCACAGCGACUCGCAGGUGUUGCUGAGUCACUGCUGGGGAGGAGGAUUUACUUAGUGUGUCUGAAAUAUUCCUGUCCUUUGUGAAAUAUUCUUGUCCUUACAGCAUCGCUUAAUGAGCCAAAGCUUAAACCUCUGACUGUGUGCCUCCAUUAGUGGAGCAGUGGAAUUAAUUUCAAGCUUGGUCAUUGGAUUCACCGCUCACUGGGAUUUUAACUUCUUCCCUGUAAAACAUAUUCACUCAGCUUAGUAUUUUUUAAUAAGCAACAAGCAAUUUUAUUAAAGUCUGCAAGAAAAAUAUGUA